AGCGCCAGAAUCUGCUGUUUUCUAGUAGCGAGAAAACCGGACAAUGUGACUCUACAUCACAUAUACCAACAUUUAUAUUUAUUCCAUAAGACACAUACAUUAAAAUACAGGACUCUUCAAAACGAGUUCCCAAGAAAGAGACAAUGCAAGUGUUGCCUAUUUGGGAGCUUUCCAUCCCUCUCCCAGCAGUGCUAUUGAUUACGGUGGGCCUUUACAUGAUCGUCCUGGGGAUCGGGCUGUGGAUCCGACACUGCCUCAAGGAUCGUUGUUCUUCAGAGUGUGGUGACUGCUGUCCAAACAUUUCCAUAAGUGAACAGUGCUAUAGAUUUGCAGAAAUGUGUGACUUUCGCCUGCCAACCUUGCGCUCAUGUCGAGCCAUUUUGUGCUCUUCUCCUUCAUGUGCCAAAUGGGACUGUGCCUGCACCUGUCAGCCUCCUGAGUGUGAAUCCUGCAACUGCCUCUGUUUUGAGAUCAGGAUCAAGUAAAAGAAGGGGUUCGAGGUGCACUAAUGCCACUGUCAGCUGAUGCACUCCAGGUACUACAGUUUUUGAGUUUUUGUUUUUUUUUAAAAUGUAUGCCUUUUUUUAGGGAGUUUACAGUGGAGAGAUGACAGUUAAAAAAGGGGGAGGAGAGUGACGGUUCAUGGUUAGCAGCUUAAACCAGGACCUCCAGGACACUCAACAUGACUCUUCUUUGACUUUUACCUUUAAAAAAGACUGGAAAUUAUUUUGUAACUGCCCUUUUCGAUUUUUUAAAAAUGUAGCAGGGUCUUCUCUAUCUGGUUUCACGUGUUCAAGGUUGUAUAAAAUAAUUUUCUGCUGUUUUUCACUAUCUUUAAAUUUGACUGUUGCAUACCACUGACCUCCUCAUGUCUUGUUGUUUCUGUUUUUUGGCUAAUCUAGUAAAUUAAAUACUUGACAAAUCAGCCUCACACUAAUGUGAAAAAUGUAUAUAAAGACAGCUGAGCUUAUUGACUUGAAACUUUUCCUACAGUGGUCCAAUGCACCAGGAGAUACUGAAGUGUUAGAUACCACAGUACAUUAGCACACUCCCUUUAAAAUGUUUAUUUUAUAGUAUACUAUUAUACCAAUAUCAUAUAUUAGACAAGUACAACAUUGUUGAUACCUGUGUACUUUUUCUAAUGUAAUAAAAUAGCAAUGUCAAAGCUUACAGCUCAAUUAGAGUGACCAACGCCACCUGUUAAGAGGCCUAUUGCAUGAUAUCUUUAAUGUUCGAUGAAAUGGUGAAAUUGACUGCAGAGUGUAUGUAGGAGUGUAUUUAGCAGGAGGAAAGACCUAGAGGCUUUUAUUUUCACUGAACACCAGUUUGAUCAAACUUAGUAUUAGUAUUGUCGAUCUCUCUGAUGUUGCUGGGAGUGCCUUCUGUAUUGUGCAUUUUGAGAAUGGUUCAUUAAGUUAAAGCCUCAUGCUGGCGUUAUUCGAUAUAGUUCUCGUGAAGGGUAAAUCUUAUGUUUGUACCAAAACCAACUAUCAGCUCCAAGCCUGUUGGUUCCAACUGAAGAUUAAAAUCUUUAAAAACUCCCCACAGAUACAUAUUUUCAUUUAUUUUUAAAAGGCUCUGUAAUUUCCUGAAACAACUGGUUACCUGGUUUUUAUUAAACAAACUAGAGGAAAUACUGUAUUUGUUAGGGACUAUUUUCAACAGCAGACUGAUCCACAUUUAGUGCUCUAGUGAGCAUCAGGAUGGUGUUUAGGUUGUAGCAUCAAUUCAUUGACAGUUCUGGUCAUUUUAUGGAAUUUCUUGACUUAAACAUAGAGCAUCACCAGACUUAUACUUUAAUGCAGUGCUAUAAAAUGCUCUGCAUGUUAAGAAAAUGACUAAAGUAGCUUUGUGCUAUGGUUUUAUAUGUUCUGUUUUUUGAAGGUUUAGUAAAUUCUGAUGUGUUUUAAAAGUGAUCCAACAGUUUGAAUGUUUCUUUGGUUUCUUUGCCCACUUGAGCUCAGUCUUCAUUCAUUUAUAGCUCCUGUGGGCAGAAGACAUUUAGCAUAGUUUCUAAAUAAUCUUGUUUUUCCCAAAACUGUCAAUAGGGUGCAGUAUUGUAACUGUCUUGCUAUUUGAGGUCCUGGUAGUGCACUUCAGUAUUUCUGAUUUGGGAGACUCUGCUUUUUGUUAUUCUGUUCCCACUAUGUAUGUCCCCUGCUUUAGUGGUUACAGGCUGUGCUGUGCUCAACGAUAGCUUUAACUUAGAGACGUCCCUCUCUGAACACCUGUCAGUAUUGCAUUACACUUUUAAGUGUUUCUUUUAUUUUGUCCACCCCAUUUACAUAUGUCAGUGAUGCGACAUAAACAACACUCUUCAACAGCACCGGAAACUACAUGCUCCAAAAUGAUCAUAGUCAAAUUAACAUAAACAGAACGUUAUGACUUGACUGCAUUAGUUUGAGUUUGGUGUUCUAUAUAAACUGCCAACUGAGUAUAUGUAGCUGUUCCGUUCAUGCCCUGCAUGUUCAUCUGAAUAUGUGUGUACCAAGGAAAACAAUUUUCUAGCAAAUAAAUACAACAACUAAAGGCCUUAAACUGAGAGCAGUGACACGUGUGUUCACAGCAUAAAGGAAAAAUGCAUCAGAAUCAAGCAGACAGAGAAGAUGGUUACUUCAUUUAAAAGCAGGCUAUAUUGACAAAAAUAAAAAGGAGAUUAUUAAGUGCUUUCACAUUCACAGGACAGGUGUAUUCUGUGGCAAGAUUCAGCAAGACUUACAAUUGACAUUUGUUCAAACCAAAUAAUUAUCCAUAUAAAUCGCAGCUGAAGUAUUUUCAAAGCAAAUGCUGUUUGUGUACUGCUGUGUCACUUCAGGUAGAUGUUGGUGUCAUGAUACAGUAACUCUGAUAAUAUGAGGUAGAUGAUCAUUGUUACUGUGUUCCUCAGGUCUCCAAAAUAUGCCUCUGUAAGUUGAACUUCAAAACAUUUACACAGAGUCAGAACAGUAACAUUUGUCAUCGAAAAUAAAAUCUGGUUUUGAAAAAGGAAACACUGACACUGAAAAAUGCUGAUGUGUGUUUUUCAAUUAAAUCUUUUUAACUUUUUCAGCAAGUCACUCUUUUUUCAGUGUCAGUUUUUGUUUUGUUUGGCCUACAUUUCAACUUACAUUAAAAAAAGAGGGACAUGAAGAACAAAAAGCAGAUUGUCAUUGGAAAACACGAGUGCUAAAAUAAAUAAAUAACAUCACUUUUAGUGCCUGUAUUUUAUUUUUCAGCUGUUUUUUUUUUUCAAUGCCAAAUUUUAUUUUUGAUAUUUUAUUUUUGAUGCCAAAACUUACUGUCACUGUUCUAGCUCCAUACAUUUGUUAAGACUGUCUUUAAUCAUAUCUGCAACUUAAUAAAUACCUUCUCCUGUUUAGAGAACGGACUUAAUAUCCGCAGUAAGUACAAAGGAUAUAUUACAAAAAUUUCACACAUUUUAUCAUUGUAUUGAUAAAAAAAAAAACUAAAAAAAUGUACAUGUAGCUUCAGUUACAAUACUAGGCUACAUGUACAUAUAUUUGCUCAGUGCAGCUUGAAUAAUUCUUCAUCGAAGACUGAAAACCGUUAUGAAAACCACAUAACAGAGGUGACUCAUGAUUUUUUGUUGAGACAGAGUAGUGAAGUGGGCUGGAGGUUAUUGUCCUUCAAAGUAAAUUCACAUUUUAAAGUUUCCUUUUAACUUAAAAAAUCUCCCUCCUCACACUAUAUGUUAAAUUAACAUAAAGCCUCCAUAUGUGUCUCUAUGUGAUACACACGUCGCACAUUGCACCUACUCUCUACACUUCAUGCUUUGACAUUCCAUGGUCAAUAUUUUGCGCAUUCCUGCACAAAACUGCACAGUUCCUUCAUUUAAAUCAGAUAUACUGUGCAUAUUUUUUGUAGUUUGUAUGGAGCUAAAACAGUUGCAUGAAGUUUUGGCAUUGAAAAUAAAAUUUGGCAUUGAAAGAGGAAAAUCGACACUAAAAAAAAUACACUAAUCAAAAAACACAGGCAUUAAAGAUUCUUUGUUUUAUUUUUUAAUGACAAUCUAUUCUUUUCUUUAAGUCACUCAUUUUUUUCAGUGUCACUUUUUUUUAAGAAACCUGCGACUUUUUGGCAUAGAGGAGAUCAAUUAAAGGGGAGGAGCAAGGUCAGCAUGAUUUACAUUUAGUGUGCAAUUCAGUAGACACUAAAAAAAAGUGAGACAUGAAGAAAAACCAUCAGUAGACAUGCCUCAGGGUGCAAAAAAAAAAAAAAAAA